AAUUCUAUUACAUAUCGGUUUUCCUGCCUGGCAUUUAUUUGAGGAAAGGCUCUCUCGGAUAUGAGGGAGUUGGUUUUGGAAAAUUAAAUCAGACUGACUAAAAGGAUGGUAUGAUUCACAAGAAAAGAGAAGAUCAUUGUGUGAUAGGAUAAUUAUUUUUGGAGCACUUUAUUUUCAUGACUUCCAGCGCACAGAGGAGAAACAUAUGGACGGUGUUGCUAAUUUAGGCCUGUGCUUGCUUCAGGCUCUGCAUGGAGGUUCUACACCAGAACUCUCUGGUCUCCAUUUUUGAAUGGAGUGCUGCAAGAGAUGCCAUCAGGCAACAGAGUUAACACAGCGUGCCUCCUGAGUUAAUAGCUGGCUUUUGACUUGUCACUUGUGAAAACGGAGAAAAAGAGCUAGUUCUCCGCUGAGGUGAAACCUUACCUGCCAUCCACAAAUGCCGGCUCUGCCAGUACCUCGUGAUCCUUCAGCUGGCAGGAGAUCCUGAGAGAAAUGCAAAAGGACAAGCCCACCUCCACAGCCUAGCAAGCUCCUGGCUUAGUCACCUCCGUGGGCUGAAGGCUGACACUGUACUGACGGGCCUGGGUACACUCAAGAGUUCCUGCAAGGCGCCUGGGAAGGCUGGCCUCCUACCACAGGAGGUGUGGAGUUUUGACUUCUCAAUUUGCUCUUCCAUUUGGCCAAAGCCUGCCUUUCUCCAGACUACCUUUUUCUGGAUUGAGUUGAGGUGCGGGACCCUGGGAGAGAACAUGGAGACUCUUGGGGACACAGGGCUGCUGAAAAGGGCCACGUGGUUCAGCGACCUCUGCUUGUCUAAAUGGCCACAGCUUGAAUGACCUGAUAGGUAUAUGGACAUGCUCACCCUCCCUAAGACACAGGUUGUAAACCCCAGAAAGCUGGGACAUGACAGGCAACAUCACGCCUUCUCAUUAGGCCCUAAAAGGAGGUGCCAAUAGAUAACCUUCAUCCCAUCCAACAUACCUCUGGGAUAAAUUGGUUUCCCCCCAGAUUAGUGUUCUGAGUACCUGUUUCUUGGUUGGUUUGUUUGUUUUUUUGUUAAAUAAGAUUUUUGCUUUAUCUCUGCUUGAUCUCCAAGACAAAAAGUGGUAUAAACAAAAUGUUCCUAUUAAA